UUAAUUGAAGCCAAAAAGAGGCCUAUCACUGUUAAUGAUAAAAUUGAAAUUAAUUUCCAAUUAAA
rnacentral:tRNA from 1 species